rnacentral:rRNA from 1 species
AGUGAACGCUGGCGGUAGGCCUAACACAUGCAAGUCGAACGGCAGCACAGUAAGAGCUUGCUCUUACGGGUGGCGAGUGGCGGACGGGUGAGGAAUACAUCGGAAUCUACUUUUUCGUGGGGGAUAACGUAGGGAAACUUACGCUAAUACCGCAUACGACCUACGGGUGAAAGCAGGGGAUCUUCGCACCUUGCGCGAUUGAAUGAGCCGAUGUCGGAUUAGCUAGUUGGCGGGGUAAAGGCCCACCAAGGCGACGAUCCGUAGCUGAUCUGAGAGGAUGAUCAGCCACACUGGAACUGAGACACGGUCCAGACUCCUACGGGAGGCAGCAGUGGGGAAUAUUGGACAAUGGGCGCAAGCCUGAUCCAGCCAUACCGCGUGGGUGAAGAAGGCCUUCGGGUUGUAAAGCCCUUUUGUUGGGAAAGAAAAGCAGCAGGUUAAUACCCCGCUGUUCUGACGGUACCCAAAGAAUAAGCACCGGCUAACUUCGUG